GGCAGCACGGAGCUUGCUCUGGUGGCGAGUGGCGAACGGGCGAGUAAUAUAUCGGAACGUACCCUGGAGUGGGGGAUAACGUAGCGAAAGUUACGCUAAUACCGCAUACGAUCUAAGGAUGAAAGUGGGGGAUCGCAAGACCUCAUGCUCGUGGAGCGGCCGAUAUCUGAUUAGCUAGUUGGUAGGGUAAAAGCCUACCAAGGCAUCGAUCAGUAGCUGGUCUGAGAGGACGACCAGCCACACUGGAACUGAGACACGGUCCAGACUCCUACGGGAGGCAGCAGUGGGGAAUUUUGGACAAUGGGCGCAAGCCUGAUCCAGCAAUGCCGCGUGAGUGAAGAAGGCCUUCGGGUUGUAAAGCUCUUUUGUCAGGGAAGAAACGGUGGGAGCUAAUAUCUCCUGCUAAUGACGGUACCUGAAGAAUAAGCACCGGCUAACUACGUGCCAGCAGCCGCGGUAAUACGUAGGGUGCAAGCGUUAAUCGGAAUUACUGGGCGUAAAGCGUGCGCAGGCGGUUUUGUAAGUCUGAUGUGAAAUCCCCGGGCUCAACCUGGGAAUUGCAUUGGAGACUGCAAGGCUAGAAUCUGGCAGAGGGGGGUAGAAUUCCACGUGUAGCAGUGAAAUGCGUAGAUAUGUGGAGGAAUACCGAUGGCGAAGGCAGCCCCCUGGGUCAAGAUUGACGCUCAUGCACGAAAGCGUGGGGAGCAAACAGGAUUAGAUACCCUGGUAGUCCACGCCCUAAACGAUGUCUACUAGUUGUCGGGUCUUAAUUGACUUGGUAACGCAGCUAACGCGUGAAGUAGACCGCCUGGGGAGUACGGUCGCAAGAUUAAAACUCAAAGGAAUUGACGGGGACCCGCACAAGCGGUGGAUGAUGUG
rnacentral:rRNA from 1 species